rnacentral:rRNA from 1 species
GAUAAACGCUGGCGGUGUGGUUUAAUACAUGCAAGUUGAGCGAUUCUUUUUUAAGAAUAGCAGCGAACGAGCGAGUAACACGUUGGAACCUGCCCCGAACUCAGGGAUAAGCAUUGGAAACAGUGUCUAAUACCGGAUAGUCCCGCAAGGGUAAAGAUUUUCGGUUCGGGAGGGGCCUGCGGCCUAUCAGCUAGUUGGUGAGGUAACUGCUCACCAAGGCUACGACGGGUAACUGGUCUGAGAGGAUGAUCAGUCGCGAUGGAACUGAGACACGGUCCAUACUCCUACGGGAGGCAGCAGUAGGGAAUCUUCCGCAAUGGGCGAAAGCCUGACGGAGCAACACCGCGUGGUUGAUGAAGCCCUUCGGGUGUAAAGACCUUUUCUGAGGGAAGAAUUCUGACGGUACCUUAGGAAUAAGCACCGGCUAACUCCGUG